GAACGGUAGCACAGAGAGCUUGCUCUCGGGUGACGAGUGGCGGACGGGUGAGUAAUGUCUGGGAAACUGCCCGAUGGAGGGGGGUAACUACUGGAAACGGUAGCUAAUACCGCAUAACGUCUUCGGACCAAAGUGGGGGACCUUCGGGCCUCACACCAUCGGAUGUGCCCAGAUGGGAUUAGCUAGUAGGUGGGGUAAUGGCUCACCUAGGCGACGAUCCCUAGCUGGUCUGAGAGGAUGACCAGCCACACUGGAACUGAGACACGGUCCAGACUCCUACGGGAGGCAGCAGUGGGGAAUAUUGCACAAUGGGCGCAAGCCUGAUGCAGCCAUGCCGCGUGUAUGAAGAAGGCCUUCGGGUUGUAAAGUACUUUCAGCGGGGAGGAAGGCGGUGAAGUUAAUAACUUCACCGAUUGACGUUACCCGCAGAAGAAGCACCGGCUAACUCCGUG
rnacentral:rRNA from 1 species